rnacentral:misc_RNA from 1 species
GAUGAAGAACGUAGCGAAAUGCGAUAAGUAAUGUGAAUUGCAGAAUUCAGUGAAUCAUCGAAUCUUUGAACGCACAUUGCGCCCCUUGGUAUUCCAUGGGGCAUGCCUGUUCGAGCGUCAUUUGUACCUUCAAGCUCUGCUGGUGUUGGGUGUUUGUCUCGCCUCUGCGUGUAGACUCGCCUCAAAACAAUUGGCAGCCGGCGUAUUGAUUUCGGAGCGCAGUACAUCUCGCGCUUUGCACUCAUAACGACGACGUCCAAAAGUACAUUUUUACACUCUUGACCUCGGAUCAGGUAGGGAUACCCGCUGAACUUAAGCAUAUCAAUAAGCGGAGGA